CACGUAGGGCGCAAGCGUUGUCCGGAAUUAUUGGGCGUAAAGAGCUCGUAGGCGGCCGGUUGCGUCUGCUGUGAAAUCCCGGGGCUUAACCCCGGGCGUGCAGUGGAUACGGGCUGGCUGGAGGCAGGCAGGGGAGAAUGGAAUUCCCGGUGUAGCGGUGAAAUGCGCAGAUAUCGGGAGGAACACCGGUGGCGAAGGCGGCUCUCUAGUACGGUACUGACGCUGAGACGCGAAAGCGUGGGGAGCGAACAGG
rnacentral:rRNA from 1 species